AUAUAUUUAUAUAGACGUCAAGAGUAACAGGGAGCACACGAGAUAGCGAAGCGAACCCCCGGAGUCCAUGAUGUCGUUGUGCAAAACAACUUUUACUGAGGU